rnacentral:rRNA from 1 species
CCAGACUCCUACGGGAGGCAGCAGUGGGGGAUAUUGCACAAUGGGGGGGACCCUGAUGCAGCGACGCCGCGUGGGUGAAGGAGCGUUUCGGCGCGUAAAGCCCUAUCGGCAGGGAAGAAGCAAGACGGUACCUGACUAAGAGGCCCCGGCUAACUACGUGCCAGCAGCCGCGGUAAUACGUAGGGGGCGAGCGUUAUCCGGAUUCACUGGGUGUAAAGGGAGCGUAGACGACCAAGCAAGCCAGGGGUGAAAGCCCGGGGCCCAACCCCGGGACUGCCCUUGGAACUGCUUGGCUGGAGUGCGGGAGGGGCAGGCGGAAUUCCUGGUGUAGCGGUGAAAUGCGUAGAUAUCAGGAGGAACACCGGCGGCGAAGGCGGCCUGCUGGACCGCGACUGACGUUGAGGCCCGAAAGCGUGGGGAGCGAACAGGAUUAGAUACCCGAGUACGA